UACGUAGGGUGCGAGCGUUAAUCGGAAUUACUGGGCGUAAAGCGUGCGCAGGCGGCGCGUUAAGACAGGUGUGAAAGCCCCGAGCUUAACUUGGGAAUUGCGCUUGUGACUGGCGUGCUGGAGUGUGGCAGAGGAAGGUGGAAUUCCACGUGUAGCGGUGAAAUGCGUAGAGAUGUGGAGGAACACCAAUGGCGAAGGCAGCCUUCUGGGCCAACACUGACGCUCAUGCACGAAAGCGUGGGGAGCGAACAGG
rnacentral:rRNA from 1 species